rnacentral:rRNA from 1 species
UUGAAGAGUUUGAUCAUGGCUCAGAUUGAACGCUGGCGGCAGGCCUAACACAUGCAAGUCGAACGGUAACAUUUCUAGCUUGCUAGAAGAUGACGAGUGGCGGACGGGUGAGUAAUGCUUGGGAACUUGCCUUUGCGAGGGGGAUAACAGUUGGAAACGACUGCUAAUACCGCAUAAUGU